rnacentral:lncRNA from 1 species
AAGAGGCAGCAGGCUUCGUGAGCUGGGGAAGUGCCAGAAGCAGCCUUCGAAUUAGACAGACCUGGACCCAAACCCUUUCUCUUCCCCCCACCCAUUUUGGCAUCUUGGCACGAGACUGUCCCCAUUUCUGGAAAGGGUGUUCACAAGAACAGUCUGGCUGGGUUGUUGGGAUGACCGAGUGUGAUCAUGCGUCUCUAUGGCUGGCCAUGGUGUUUAUUCGAUGGCAGGUAUUACCAGGAUGGAGCGAGUCCCAGUAGGAAGGGCCUUUAGGAUGUCAUCUGGUUCCACCCAACAGGGAUGGGAACUGUAAUUCCCCACUCUCCCUGUGGAGAAUCAGGGCGGGCUCCGGAUGGAUGGCCAAAGGCUGCACAGAGGCGCUCCUGUGAAGAGGAAGCCUCAGGAGGGAGUGAGAGCAGAAGGGAGCCCACCUGUGGUUGUCUCAGCAACAGCAGAAGAACCUGGGCCGCUGGGAGUGGAGUUGGAGAGAAACAGGUUGAUUUGGAAGUUCUUCUGCAGGUAGAACGGAAAGGCGAAUUCUGCAAGAUGCUCUGGGGUCCACUGAGCUCAGCUGCUGAGGCUCAGCUCUUUCUGUGGCUUCUUCUUGAGCAGCCUGUUGACCAAGAUGUGGCCCAUGCCACUCCCUAUAUUCGGAGUCCAUUUUCUGAUGCCCUCUCUCAGCUCUUCGCCUGCACUCAUCUGUGACUGCCUGGUACUGCUAGGAAGCCUCUGUUUGUGUCUCAUCUCUCCAGGUGGACUGGAGCUCCUGGGGGUCCUUUCCUUUGUGGGGGUUCUCAAUAUCAGAAUGGAGUCGCUUAUGUCAAACCCUAACAAAAUGGAGGUGGAGGUCACGAAUUGGAGCCUAUAUGCGUGCCUGUAACAGGACUUGUCACAAGGAAUCCCUGCACAUAUGUGUAUGAUGGGGACUAUGCCAGGAACUCCUCACAUAUGGAGGAUUCGAGGUAAGCCAUUUGCUCAAGGACACUUACCCAGCAAUGGCAGCCUCCACUAAUGAGACAUCGCGAACUCCUGUAAUCAAUGGUCUUUGUUUCUAAACAGCUUAUGUGGAAUUCUCCGUUUUUUUGUCUGUAAAAGUUUUCUUUAGCCCCAGUCUCUUUGGAUAUGCCUAUGAUUCAUCAUAGCACAUGUUUCCCAGGUUGCAAUCCCCUGCAAUUCCCAAAUAAGCUCCUUUUGUGGAGAUCCUGUCUCUCUCUGUCAUUAUUUAGGUUGACACCUUUUAUGUCCUGCAUUGCUGUUGAUGACACCCACAUUUGUACCUCCUGCUUGAAUGUCCCCUCCCCCAACUCCAAAAUUCCUCUCUCUGUCUACCCUGUACCUCUAUUUGAACCACUAAGAGGCAUCUCAGACUUAAAGUGUCCCAAACUGAGCCCCUGUGAUGCCCCCAGAGCUGCUCCUCCCCACCACCUCCUCCUCAGCAAUGGCAGCUUGAUUCUUCUUUGGGCUUUAUUCAGUCCCCCAACUUUGGAGCUUUCUUGACCCCUCUCUAUUGCUCACAUGCCAUAUUCAAUGUGUAGGCAAAUCCUUUGGCCCUGCCUUCCAAAGACAUGCAGAAUCUACUCACUUCUCGCCACCUCGCUGUCUCACUCUGCGUCAGGCCACCCUGUGUGUCCUUGCACAAUUGCGGGAGCCUUGGCUCGAGUCCUCCAGACCUUCUACCUCUUUGACUUCAUCUAGUGCUGCUCCAAGCCCCGUGCUCUUCCUUGGACACACCAGGCAUGCUGCCAGCAGAGCCUUUGCAUGUGCUGUUCCCUUUGUCGGGAAGCCUUUUCCCCAGCUAUCUGCUCAGCUCAUCCGCUGUCUCUUUCGUCCUCGCUCAGAUUCCCCUUCUCUGUGAAGCCUUUCUGACCAUCCUCAUUAAAAUCAAAUAACCCCACCCCUCCACUCUCUUGCCCAUUUUCCUCAUCCAUUUCCCCCUAGGACUAAUCACUCUCUAACAUUCUCUAUAUAUUUUUCUGAUAUAUUUGUUUAUAUGUCUUGCAUAAACAAAAUGAUUUGGUUUAUGGUCUAUCUCUUCUUGCUAGAAUGUGAGCUCUACAAGGGUAGGGAUGCUUAUUUUGUCACCGUUGUGUCCCUGACUCCUAAAAUGCUGACGGUGUGGCCAGCUGCAUGCCCUGCUGUCUCUAUUUUGAAACUCUAACAAAAUUUUGGACAAGACCCUCCUCUUUCAUUUUAUGCUGGACCUGGAAAAUUACAGAGCAGGUUCUGACUUCCAGGCACAUGGUACGCAUUCAAUAAAUAAUCUCUUGAAUG